AGAAAAGCAAAAACAGACUGCGCCGCCCGGGAAUCGAACCCGGGUCGCAAGAAUGGGAAUCUUGCAUGAUACCACUACACCAGCGGCGCUCUUGAGUGUCUGGGCCGUCCACAGGAUAUACGAACUGUGACGUACACUGACCAAUGCAACAGCAUUGCGCAUGCGUCUUUUCUUUUGUGCUCCAGUUCUUGGUUGACAAGAGUUUGCAAGACAGGAUAGCGCACUGGAUCCCGAAGUGUUGUUGGCGGCCCUUGAAAAGGAGGAAAGCUACUCCUCUGUGUCCAGAUCCCCAUGUCUUUCUCUGAAAAGGGCAUAGUCGGGAUAGAGGAUCCAUCCAGUUCCAUCUCACUAUGGCUCUAGCUGAGAUCUUCCAUAACCCUCAGACAUCAGCUUUCACAACUGGUACCCCACCAAGGCUCCGUCCUCAGGCAGCAGUGAGUGGUCUAGUGCAUCUAGAAAGACUUGACUGGGGAACCUGCAAAACCCAGCUCAGUAUGGCUGUCAUUCCAGGGGUACCUGCAAAAACCAGCAUGAGGCCCCAGUGUCCUAUCCUGCCUCCCUACCAUGUGCUGUGUAAUCCGGAGCCAACCGCUGGGAGAGAGGAGGCUUGGGGAAGGAGGUCAGCUUUCCUGAGCUGUCUGUCACCUACACUUCAGGAGGUGAGAGAGUCCUGCUCUUACACGCUCCAUAAGUGACCUCAAUAAAAUCACUGAUUCACCAACUAGAUUUGGCUGGAAUUCUUUCUUUGGUCUGUGGUUGGUGUCCUAUCUCAGCUGAGCAGACAUUUUGCAUGCCUCCCUAGUACAUGUCACACACUCAACUGAGUCUUCACAGAGCUAGAGAAGGGGAGGAGGCCUUUUGUUCUC